AGUUUGAUCCUGGCUCAGGAUGAACGCUAGCUACAGGCUUAACACAUGCAAGUCGAGGGGCAGCGGGAUUGAAGCUUGCUUCAAUUGCCGGCGACCGGCGCACGGGUGAGUAACGCGUAUCCAACCUUCCGUACACUCAGGGAUAGCCUUUCGAAAGAAAGAUUAAUACCUGAUGGUAUGAUGAGAUUGCAUGAUAGCAUCAUUAAAGAUUUAUCGGUGUACGAUGGGGAUGCGUUCCAUUAGGUAGUAGGCGGGGUAACGGCCCACCUAGCCAACGAUGGAUAGGGGUUCUGAGAGGAAGGUCCCCCACAUUGGAACUGAGACACGGUCCAAACUCCUACGGGAGGCAGCAGUGAGGAAUAUUGGUCAAUGGACGAGAGUCUGAACCAGCCAAGUAGCGUGAAGGAUGAAGGUCCUACGGAUUGUAAACUUCUUUUAUAAGGGAAUAAACCCUCCCACGUGUGGGAGCUUGUAUGUACCUUAUGAAUAAGCAUCGGCUAACUCCGUGCCAGCAGCCGCGGUAAUACGGAGGAUGCGAGCGUUAUCCGGAUUUAUUGGGUUUAAAGGGAGCGCAGACGGGUCGUUAAGUCAGCUGUGAAAGUUUGGGGCUCAACCUUAAAAUUGCAGUUGAUACUGGCGUCCUUGAGUGCGGUUGAGGUGUGCGGAAUUCGUGGUGUAGCGGUGAAAUGCUUAGAUAUCACGAAGAACUCCGAUUGCGAAGGCAGCACACUAAUCCGUAACUGACGUUCAUGCUCGAAAGUGUGGGUAUCAAACAGGAUUAGAUACCCUGGUAGUCCACACGGUAAACGAUGGAUACUCGCUGUUGGCGAUAUACUGUCAGCGGCUUAGCGAAAGCGUUAAGUAUCCCACCUGGGGAGUACGCCGGCAACGGUGAAACUCAAAGGAAUUGA
rnacentral:rRNA from 1 species